UAAGACAACUCUGGAAAGUCGGGGGCAACUCCGCGCCGAAGGUGUAAGUAUGGCUUUAUAUAUAGCCAUGCGAGUCUCUCAGGCCUGAGACAGAGGGGCACGA
rnacentral:ncRNA from 13 species